rnacentral:rRNA from 1 species
AAUCAACGCUGGCGGCGCGCUUAACACAUGCAAGUCGAACGAGAAAGCGGGGGCAACUCGCGAGUAAAGUGGCGUACGGGUGAGUAACACGUGGAUUAUCUAACUCUUAGUGGGGGAUAACUUUGGGAAACCGAAGCUAAUACCGCAUGAGCCCGAGAGGGGAAAGCCGGCUUUGUGCAAACAGAGCUGGCGCUGAGAGAGGAGUCCGCGGCCGAUUAGUUUGUUGGCGGGGUAAUGGCCCACCAAGACUGCGAUCGGUAGCCGGCCUGAGAGGGCACACGGCCACACUGGCACUGAAACACGGGCCAGACUCCUACGGGAGGCAGCAGUGGGGAAUCUUGCACAAUGGGGGCAACCCUGAUGCAGCGACGCCGCGUGAGCGAUGAAGCCCUUGGGGUGUAAGCUCUUUCGGCAGGGAGAUUAUGACGGUACUNCAGAGCAGCUGCGGCUAACUACGUGCC